GCAUCGUUUUCAACAUAGAGUUCACCAUAGAGUGACGGCUUGCAAUAGCUGCCGGAAGUUCAGGCUAGGAGUGACUAAGCUUCAUGUUUCAUCUCCUUCUAGUUCCCUCCCCCCGAUAACAUUCUGGGAAGGUCCCUUGAGGCAGGUCUUCCGUUUCCUUCUUCCUUUCUUUCGUGUGGCUUGGUUCUCUGCAGCAGCGUGGCUUUCAGGAUGAGGAACACCAGGAGAAUUCCCGGGCACUUCAGCCAUGCCCGUGGUCAGGGAGAAACAUGGAAUUGAAUUGUUGUUCUGUAGGAAAUAAGCUGGUUUUGCCUCAUACGUGACUCGAUGGCUGUUGCUCAGAGCAGAGGUUUGUGCUAGCUUUGCAAAAAGAGCAGCACUCAUGUUUUUCGAGGUCUAUCAACAGGCAAACAAAAUACCCAGAAGGACAGGAUAGUGUUGGAAGAGUGCAGAGUCAUGGAAUUCACUUUGACAAACAGUAAAAGAUAACCAAAAGCAUGACUUUUGUUAAGAAGCCACCAGGCUUACUACAAAGGGAGAAGUGCCUAAGCAAUUCCUAUUUGGAAACUCUUCAGCAGGACAGCAGAUCUGACCGUAGGGGAAACGGAAUGUGGAAACUUGUGGAAUAGUCUUGACAUCCAAAUAAAAAAGCUUGCAUCAAA